GCGGUGGAGCAUGUGGUUUAAUUCGAAGCAACGCGAAGAACCUUACCAGGUCUUGACAUCCCUGACAACCCGAGAGAUCGGGCGUUCCCCUUCGGGGGACAGGGUGACAGGUGGUGCAUGGUUGUCGUCAGCUCGUGUCGUGAGAUGUUGGGUUAAGUCCCGCAACGAGCGCAACCCUCGACCUUAGUUGCCAGCAUUCAGUUGGGCACUCUAAGGUGACUGCCGGCUAAAAGUCGGAGGAAGUGGGAUGACGUCAAAUCAUCAUGCCCCUUAUGACCUGGGCUACACACGUGCUACAAUGGUUGGUACAACGAGUUGCGAGUCGGUGACGGCGAGCUAAUCUCUUAAAGCCAAUCUCAGUUCGGAUUGUAGGCUGCAACUCGCCUACAUGAAGUCGGAAUCGCUAGUAAUCGCGGAUCAGCACGCCGCGGUGAAUACGUUCCCGGGCCUU
rnacentral:rRNA from 1 species